UCUAGUUUGCUGAAUAGCUUUCAUGUAAUCUUUUUAACGUCAUUAUAACUAUUAAUACCAGUAAUGACACAAUUAUUUAUAAAGGAAUUCUGUGAUAGUUAAAGUAUUCUCUACAAUAGGGAGAGUGGUGCAAAAAUGAUUUAUACAACUGUGAAUGAGGCCUUGUCUCUUCAUGG